AAAUUUUUUACAAUAAAUAAUAAUCUUACGUUAUUACGAGCGAGUUUUAAUACUAUUUAGUUUAUUCUACACCAUUAUUUAACUUCAAUAAAAUAAUACUGCUAUUACGUUGCUAUUAUAACAGUUCAUUUGUAACAUAAUAAAUUUACACAUGACAUUACUUAGUAAGGGGAUAAUGUGAUAUAAUAGAAAAUCGACAACGCAGCAUCCGACACAGGUCUAUACCAAUAUGAUGUUGGAAUUAUUUAUAAUAUAAUUAGACAAAAGAAGAGAUUGCCCAUCUUAUCAGAGAGCGUGAAUCCUGGUUAUUAAGGAAUCCAAAUCAUGAAGAAAAUUUCCUAAACCAGCUUAUGGAUACCGCAUCAGCAAAUUCGUCAAUGAAGUUAUGAAAAGUGGCUUCACUGACGAGUUCUUAUGCACCAGGAAAUUAACUGGACAGGAUGCAAAGGAUAGUAAAAAUGACCGCAUACCAAUGCAUCCUGAUGAAGUCCAUGAAGUCGAAAAACUAUGUUACAACGUUUGGAAAUCAAUUCCAACUAUAUACAAUUCUGGAGAGGAAUCUAAAAAGAAAUAAAAAGUACAAUAUGAAAAUCAAUGAGGACAAACCUAUCAAACAGAUGAUUAACUAAACCUGGACCAAGUUUAUAAUAUUUGAUGGGCGUUUGAGAAUAAAGUGAAGAAAUUGAAUCAGAAAAAAAAAUUCAAGGUACAAAAUAUUAACACAUCGGCAUCACAUAGUAACAGAUCGGUGUUGUUUGAUCUUUUGGUGCAAUGUGUAAGUUUUAACCCCCUUUUUUUAGACAGCGGCUACAAAACUGUAAUAAAAUUAAGUACUAAAACUAAA